AUGAAGCAUUUCAGAAUGUCAUUUAAGAUCAAGAGCAGCAGAAGGAACAAACAUGAAGGUAUGAGUAUGUGUUGGGGGAGCCAGCAUUAACACAUACUACUAGGAGACAUGUGAGGAGUUUUGUUUCCAAGAUAAUAUUUAUUUCACUAAAUAUGAACUUACUUGGAUAAGCCUUAUGUAGAAAUAUAGACUGUAGUCCAAUCAGGCUCUUGGUUCCUGCUCUGCGUGAGUUCUUGCCCUGACUUCCCUCCAUGAUGGGCUGUGACCUGAGCUUUGAUUUGAGGCUGUGACCUCAUGGCUGAAGAUACCAAACACUUUGGACAUAACGCCUGGAGGCAUUGAGUUGGAAUUUACCUUAAAGCAUGUCCCUGGGUUCAGGGAACCCUGAGGAAGAGGAAGCAGAAAAAGAGUAAGAGCCAGAAGAAAUAGAGGACACCAGGAGAACAAGGCCUCCUGAAUCAACUAAGGAAGGCACAUGUGAGCGCACAGAGACUGAAGCAGCAAACAUAGGACAUACAAGGGUCUAAACCAGGUGCUGUAUUUAGAGAAACUGUAAAGAAGAAAGAACAACUGAAUGCUAUAUUCAUAGUGAAUAUGUGGAUUCAUAUCCUGCAACAUAAGACAGGAGAGCAAAGGAGAAAGAAAUGUUUGAACACCAUGUUUCUAAUUUUUCACCCAAGGGAAUGAAUUCAGGUACUAUGAGACUGCAGUGUAAUCAAGGAGAAGAUGAAAGAUGAAGUAAAUAAGCAAGAACUCAGAAGAAGUGGGAGGCAGACAUCACUUAUGGAAAUUCUUGGCUGCUACUUCACGCCUCCACCUUCAGAUGCAGAAUUUAAGUGCAAAGAAAAAAAAAAAAACCCUCUUGUGUGCUAUAGAUGUCCAUUUCUCAAGAGCAGCUCAGCAGAGUCGAGGGAGAACUACCCACACUGGUUCACUGCAAGUCUACAUAGAGCUGAUAAGCUUCCAAGUUACACAGGAAAAAGAAGAAAGGCAAAGGCUCCCAUGUAAAGGAACAGAGAAUGACUUUAUCUAGAAGGAAAACGACGCUGGGAUUUUCAAAGCCUCUCUGUCAGUCUCAGAACCCUCUGCAGUAAGACA
rnacentral:lncRNA from 1 species